AUUCCUGCUCUGUAAGCGUUUACCAAAGUUGUUGCAGUUAAAGCGCUCGUAGUCGGAUUUUGGCGUGGUGCCUCUGAGAUGCCUGAUUUUGGGCGUCAAAUAUUGUAGUCCCGCCUUUGUGGAGGGGGGUGUGGUGGUGCUUUAUUGCAUUGCCGCAUUUCCGCCACUGUUUACUGUGAAAAAAUUAGAGUGUUCAAAGCGAGCGAUUGCCAUGAAUACAUUAGCAUGGAAUAAUAGAAUAGGACCUGGUUCUGUUUUAUUGGUUUGUCGGUAUCAGGUAAUGAUUAAGAGGGACGGUCGGGGGCAUUUAUAUUCCAGGGUUAGAGGUGAAAUUCUUAGAUCCUUGGAAGAUAAACAGCUGCGAAAGCGUCUGCCAAGGACGUUUUCAUCA
rnacentral:rRNA from 1 species